GGUUCGAUUAUGGCUCAGAUUGAACGCUGGCGGGAUGCUUUACACAUGCAAGUCAACGGCAGCACGGACUUCGGUCUGGUGGCGAGUGGCGAACGGGUGAGUAAUGUAUCGGAACGUGCCUAGUAGUGGGGGAUAAUCAUGAAAGCGUAGCUAAUACCGCAUACGCCCUUCGGGGGAAAGCGGGGACCUUCGGGCCCUCGCACUAUUAGAGCGGCCGAUAUCGGAUUAGCUAGUUGUGGGUAACGGCUCACCAAGGCGACGAUCCGUAGCUGGUUUGAGAGGACGACCAGCCACACUGGGACUGAGACACGGCCCAGACUCUACGGGAGGCAGCAGUGGGGGAAUUUUGGGAUGGUCGGGGGAAACUCCUGAUCCAGCCAUCCCGCGUGUGCGAUGAAGGCCUUCGGGUUGUAAAGCACUUUUGCAGGAAGAAACGGCACGGGAUAAUACCCCGUGCAACUGACGGUACCUUUGCAGAAUAAGCACCGGCUAAACUGGCAUGUGCCAGCAGCCGCGUAAUACGUAGGGGUGCAAGCGUUAAUCGGAAUUACUGGGGCGUAAAGGUGCGCGGCGGUUCGGAAAGAAAGAUGUGAAAUCCCAGAGCUUAACUUUGGAACUGCAUUUAACUACCGAGCUAGAGUGUGUCAGAGGGAGGUGGAAUUCCGCGUGUAGCAGUGAAAUGCGUAGAUAUGCGGAGGAACACCGAUGGCGAAGGCAGCCUCCUGGGAUAACACUGACGCUCAUGCACGAAAGCGUGGGGAGCAAACAGGAUUAGAUACCCCGGUAGUUCCACGCCCCAAACGAUGUCAACUAGCUGUUGGGGCCUUCGGGCCUUGUAGCGCAGCUAACGCGGUGUGUUGACCGCCUGGGGAGUACGGUCGCAAGAGAUUAAAACUCAAAGGAAUUGACGGGGACCCGCACAAGCGGUGGAUGAUGUGGAUUAAUUCGAUGCAAACGCGAAAACCUUACCUACCCUUGACAUGUCUGGAAUCCGAAGAGAUCGGGAGUGCUCGCAAGAGGUCUGGAACACAGGUGCUGCAUGGUUGUCAGCUCGUGUCGUGAGAUGUUGGGUUAAGUCUCGCAACGAGCGCAACCCUGCCAUUAGUUGGUUACGAAAGGGCACUCUAAUGAGACUGCCGGUGACAAACCGGAGGGCGGUGGGGAUGACGUCAAGUCCUCAUGGCCCUUAUGGGUAGGGCUUCACACGUCAUACAAUGGUCGGGACAGAGGGUCACCAACCCGCGAGGGGAGCCAAUCCCGCAGAAACCCGAUCGUAGUCCGGAUCGCAGUCUGCACCGACUGCGGAAGUCGGAAUCAGCAGUAACGCGGAUCAGCAUGUCGCGGUGAAUACGUUCCCGGGUCUGCACACUGCCCGUCACACCAUGGAGUGGGUUUUACCAGAAGUAGUUAGCCUAACCGUAAGGAGGGCGAUUACCAUUGUAGGAUUCAUGACUGGGGUGAAGUCGUAACAAGGUAG
rnacentral:rRNA from 1 species